UACGGGGGGGGCAAGCGUUGUUCGGAAUUACUGGGCGUAAAGGGCUCGUAGGCGGCCAACUAAGUCAGACGUGAAAUCCCUCGGCCUAACCGGGGAACUGCGUCUGAUACUGGAUGGCUUGAGUUUGGGAGAGGGAUGCGGAAUUCCAGGUGUAGCGGUGAAAUGCGUAGAUAUCUGGAGGAACACCGGUGGCGAAGGCGGCAUCCUGGACCAACACUGACGCUGAGUGAGCGAAAGCCAGGGGAGCAAACAGG
rnacentral:rRNA from 1 species